AUUGAACGCUGGCGGCAGGCCUAACACAUGCAAGUCGAACGAGUGGCGGACGGGUGAGUAAUGUCUGGGAACCUGCCUGAUGGAGGGGGCUAACUACUGGAAACGGUAGCUAAUACCGCAUACCAUCGGAUGUGCCCAGAUGGGAGUAGCAAGUAGGUGGGGUAAAGGCUCACCUAGGCGACGAUCCCUAGCUGGUCUGAGAGGAUGACCGGCCACACUGGAACUGAGACACGGUCCAGACGCCUACGGGAGGCAGCAGUGGGGAAUAUUGGACAAUGGGCGCAAGCCUGAUGCAGCAAUGCCGCGUGUAUGAAGAAGGCCUUCGGGUUGUAAAGUACUUUCAGCGGGGAGGCGUUACCCGCAGAAGAAGCACCGGCUAACUCCGUGCCAGCAGCCGCGGUAAUUC
rnacentral:rRNA from 1 species